rnacentral:rRNA from 1 species
GAGUUUGAUCUUGGCUCAGAUUGAACGCUGGCGGCAGGCCUAACACAUGCAAGUCGAGCGGUAGAGAGAAGCUUGCUUCUCUUGAGAGCGGCGGACGGGUGAGUAAUGCCUAGGAAUCUGCCUGGUAGUGGGGGAUAACGCUCGGAAACGGACGCUAAUACCGCAUACGUCCUACGGGAGAAAGCAGGGGACCUUCGGGCCUUGCGCUAUCAGAUGAGCCUAGGUCGGAUUAGCUAGUUGGUGAGGUAAUGGCUCACCAAGGCGACGAUCCGUAACUGGUCUGAGGGGAUGAUCAGUCACACUGGAACUGAGACACGGUCCAGACUCCUACGGGAGGCAGCAGUGGGGAAUAUUGGACAAUGGGCGAAAGCCUGAUCCAGCCAUGCCGCGUGUGUGAAGAAGGUCUUCGGAUUGUAAAGCACUUUAAGUUGGGAGGAAGGGCAGUAAAUUAAUACUUUGCUGUUUUGACGUUACCGACAGAAUAAGCACCGGCUAAC